GUUAUGGCUCAGUGGUAGAGCGCCUGCUUAGCAUGCAUGAGGCACUGGGUUCGAUCCCCAGCAUCACA
rnacentral:tRNA from 1 species